rnacentral:rRNA from 1 species
UGUGCAAGCGUUAUUCGGAAUCACUGGGCUUAAAGGGUUCGUAGGCGGCUUGUCAAGUAGGGUGUGAAAGCCCCCGGCUUAACCGGGGAAUUGCGCCCUAAACUGACGAGCUGGAGUGGGACAGGGGUGUGUGGAACUUCCGGUGGAGCGGUGAAAUGUGUUGAUAUCGGAAGGAACGCCGGUGGCGAAAGCGACACACUGGGUCUCAACUGACGCUGAGGCACGAAAGCCAGGGGAGCGAACGGG